GGGGUUGUAGCUCAGUGGUAAAGCACUUGCCUCACAUGCAUGAGGCACUGGGUUCAAUCCUCAGCACCACA
rnacentral:tRNA from 1 species